rnacentral:rRNA from 1 species
GAUGAACGCUGGCGGCGUGCCUAAUACAUGCAAGUCGAGCGAGAAGUCUGUAGAUGAAGCUUCGGUAGAUUCAGCAGACGGAAAGCGGCGGACGGGUGAGUAACGCGUAGGCAACCUGCCUCAUACAGAGGGAUAGCCAUUGGAAACGAUGAUUAAAACCUCAUAACACGAUGGGUUCACAUGAACCCAUGGUCAAAGAUUUAUCGGUGUGAGAUGGGCCUGCGUCUGAUUAACUAGUUGGUGAGGUAACGGCUCACCAAGGUGACGAUCAGUAGCCGACCUGAGAGGGUGAUCGGCCACAUUGGAACUGAGACACGGUCCAAACUUCUACGGAAGGCAGCAGUAGGGAAUCUUGCACAAUGGGCGAAAGCCUGAUGCAGCAACGCCGCGUGAAGGAAGAAGGUCCUAGGAUUGCAAACUUCUGUUCUUGGGGAAUAAACAAAUGACGGUACCCAAGGAGGAAGCCCCGGCUAAAUACGUGCCAGCAGCCGCGGUAAUACGUAUGGGGCAAGCGUUAUCCGGAAUUAUUGGGCGUAAAGAGUGCGUAGGUGGUAAUUUAAGCGCAAGGUUUAAUGUACAGGCUCAACCUGUAUUUGCCUUGCGAACUGGGUUACUUGAGUGCAGGAGGGGAAAGCGGAAUUCCUAGUGUAGCGGUGAAAUGCGUAGAUAUUAGGAAGAACACCGGCGGCGAAGGCGGCUUUCUGGACUGCAACUGACACUGAGGCACGAAAGCGUGGGGAGCAAACAGGAUUAGAUACCCUGGUAGUCCACGCUGUAAACGAUGAGCACUAGUGUCGGGGUCGAAUGAUCUCGGUGCCGCAGUUAACGCAAUAAGUGCUCCGCCUGG